CCGCACAAGCGGAGGAACAUGUGUUUAAUUCGAUGAUACGCGAGGAACCUUACCCGGGCUUGAACUGCAGGAGAACGAUUCAGAGAUGAUGAGGUCCUUCGGGACUCCUGUGGAGGUGCUGCAUGGUUGUCGUCAGCUCGUGCCGUGAGGUGUCGGCUUAAGUGCCAUAACGAGCGCAACCCCUGCGACUAGUUGCCAUCAGGUUAAGCUGGGCACUCUGGUUGGACUGCCACCGUAAGGUGUGAGGAAGGUGGGGAUGACGUCAAAUCAGCACGGCCCUUACGUCCGGGGCUACACACGUGUUACAAUGGGAGGUACAGAGAGAUGGUGUUCCGUAAGGCGCAUCUAAUCCUAAAAGCCUUCCUCAGUUCGGAUUGGGGUCUGCAACCCGACCCCAUGAAGCUGGAUUCGCUAGUAAUCGCGCAUCAGCCAUGGCGCGGUGAAUACGUUCCCGGGCCUUGUACACACCGCCCGUCAAGCCAUGAAAGCCGGGGCGCUUGAAGUCCGUGACCGCAAGGAUCGGCCUAGAGCGAAACUGGUAAUUGGGGCU
rnacentral:rRNA from 1 species